rnacentral:tRNA from 1 species
GCCCAGGUGGCGGAAUUGGUAGACGCACCAGAUUUAGGUUCUGGCGCCGCGAGGCGUGGGGGUUCGAGUCCCUUUCUGGGCACCA